CUCUCUCUCUCUCUCUCUCUCAUCCAUCUUACCCGGUCUUCGCCAGCAACCAGAGCCCCGAACUCUGUUAAUAUCAAAAUCAAGAUUCUGACAAAAUUUUCAAAGCAGCAUGGAGUGAUGGCCUUUUGUCAUCACCUUCUAAGGUAUGCAAAACCACCACCUCUCUUCCUUGCUUUCUACAUCAAUGUUGCUUCCGCUUUACCUACCCUUUUCGUUAAUGAAAUGCUUGUAAAAUUGGGAAGAUGGAAGCCAAAAUGUGGGUUCUUCAUAGUCUUUAGAAGUUGAUGAUGCGACCCAAGAAAAAUUGGGAAGGCUGAGUAGAACUAGGGUUAAGAAAAUGAACAAAUUGGCCCUUAAGAGGGCCAAGGAUUAGAGAGAAAGGGACAUGAUAUCAUUUUGAUUAAUCUUUCUUUAUUAAUUAUAAAACUCAAUAGAAGAAACUUUUUAUUUUUUUUGUUAAUAUUUGAUAACAGUAGUUUAAUAUUCGGCCAUGAACCAAGCUGCGCCAGUGAAGGUGGCUCUUGGGUUGAUUGGACCGUGCUUGGUUGGCUGUCAAAUAGCAUUUCAAAGAGUUCUUAGCUGCCAGCAGUGGCUCUUCCUCCACUUUCCUUGCCUUUCCUGGUGUUAAUUUGUGAUUGUUUUUGAAGGCGGUAAAGUGUACGGAUUUAACGUUUCAGACUAUUUGAUAAAAGGCAAAGCAAGUGUUUGUAAUCUAUUGCAUACCAUUUGUUUGAUUAUUUUCUAAAAUAAGUGCGUUUUUUCUGGGGAGAGAUUGAUGGACGUCUUUGAUGGGGUUCAAGUUUAGUGGUAAACCAAGCUCAGUUUGGUACAGGCAGUUGGUGAAUGGGGAGGUUAAUGGUAGCGGUGGUAACGGUGGAGACUGGUGGUUGUUGGACGCAAGGUUGGCAAUAGAAUAUUGCAACAUAUUUAUCAACACGCAGCACUAAGAUAAAGAUCAACCCAAAGGGGCCUUGCCCAUGCUUUGAUCACUCUAACUAAGAUGCAGGUGAUUAUUUGAUGAUAAAUAAAGUAGGCAACAUACCUUCAUGGCGGUAUAAUAAGUGCAACCAGGCAAAUUGAUGGGAAUAGAUAAACAGCCAUCGGCAAAAUCUGAGAAUAAUUGAGCCAUCUCGUUAAUUUCUGACUCGGUUGAUACACCCAAUAGUUGAUUAACCAUUAGAUUGAUUGCUAUCUGCAGAGAGAAUCAAAACAAAGGUUAAUUGACUAUAUAAUCAUCGUCCAGAACUAUAAGAUCAUGAACACAAAUUCAAGCAACCUGGAAUAAGACUUGCCUUUCUGCAUACAUCUUGGAGAAGAAUGACGUGGUUGUCAUGGAAGUUGAGAGUUUGAAGGAUAACCAAUUGAAUAUCGUCUAAGAAAUGAAGCUUGAGCUUGUCUAAACGCAUGAUAUUAGAUGCAAUCCCAUGAAGUUUCCUUUGUUGGUCUCCUUGUAGAGUGAUGACCCCAUUUUUUCCAACCAAAUCACGAAAUGAUUUUGGAUAAUUGGAUUCAAACAAUUUGCCUUCAUUUUGCAUUAUAAAUCGAUUGAAAUUUGGGUCUGCUGAUACCACAACCCAUUUCCCAAACAAACUGCAAGAGAAUAUUUUGCCAAAUUUAUUCACCUGUUGAUAAACAAAUUCAGGAGGAUAAGAACCUGCCACUGCUUUAUACCACUGGAAGCUAUCACCAAUUAAAGGCCAACCUCUCCUUCCUGGUGGCAAUUUGUAUUUUCUAGUUGGGUUUUUUUUCCUAGCAAAAACAAUGAAUAACAGUGUUGGGAUCACAAUUGCCCAUGUUAUUAUUGAAAAAAUUUCUCUCAUCUUCUUCAGGGAACCUUGAGGAAACUCACAUAAAAGACUUGAUGAUGAGAUACUCAUCGAGGCUGUCACAAUUAUUCAUCUAUAUAUUAUAUGCCUUCGAGAAACGUGAUAGUAUUA
rnacentral:misc_RNA from 1 species